rnacentral:rRNA from 1 species
GAUGAACGCUGGCGGCGUGCCUAAUACUUGCAAGUAGAACGCUGAAGGAGGAGCUUGCUCUUCUGGAUGAGUUGCGAACGGGUGAGUAACGCGUAGGUAACCUGCCUGGUAGCGGGGGAUAACUAUUGGAAACGAUAGCUAAUACCGCAUGACAACAGUUAUUGCAUGAUAACUGUUUAAAAGGGGCAACUGCUCCACUACCAGAUGGACCUGCGUUGUAUUAGCUAGUUGGUGAGGUAACGGCUCACCAAGGCGACGAUACAUAGCCGACCUGAGAGGGUGAUCGGCCACACUGGGACUGAGACACGGCCCAGACUCCUACGGGAGGCAGCAGUAGGGAAUCUUCGGCAAUGGACGGAAGUCUGACCGAGCAACGCCGCGUGAGUGAAGAAGGUUUUCGGAUCGUAAAGCUCUGUUGUAAGAGAAGAACGAGUGUGAGAGUGGAAAGUUCACACUGUGACGGUAUCUUACCAGAAAGGGACGGCUAACUACGUG